AUGAUCCCCAUCUUCUUCCUCCUACUCUUGAGUUCAUUCUGCAGCGCCGAUGACCAGCUCACACAAGCAAAGCCACUCGCCCAUGGCGGCAUGCUCAUCUCCGAGAGCGGGGACUUUGCUCUGGGCUUCAUCUCCCCGACAAGCUCCAACAAGAGUUUUUACAUUGGCAUAUGGUACCACAGCCUCCCCGGGCCACGGACCGUUGUGUGGAUCGCCAACCGCGACAGCCCAAUCAUCAACCCUUCGUCCAUGAUGCUCAAGGUAACUAACAAUUCUCGCAUGGUAUUAUCAGACUCCGAAGGCCGUAUUAUUUGGAUGGCAGGAAGCAAUGCCACUUCUGGGGCGGCAGGAGCUUAUGCAGUACUACUCAACUCAGGGAACUUUGUCCUCCGGUCUUCGGGCAACCAGGACAUAUGGUUGAGCUUCGAUCAUCCGACCGACACCAUCCUUCCAAACAUGAGAUUUUUGGUGAGCUACAAGGCACAAAUCGUCACACGUCUUGUUGCUUGGAAGGGCCCCGAUGACCCAUCUUCUGGGGACUUCUCAUGCAGUGGCGACCCAAGAUCCCCAGACCUUCAGUUGGUAACGUUGAACAAGGCUAGGCUAUAUUGUCGUAUCAUUGUGUGGGACGGUGUGUCGGUGUCCGGCCGCACUUCUAACCAACACUAG
rnacentral:rRNA from 1 species